rnacentral:rRNA from 1 species
GCCAGCAUUUCGGAUGGGCACUCUAGGGAGACUGCCGGUGACAAACCGGAGGAAGGUGGGGAUGACGUCAAGUCAGCAUGCCCCUCACGUCCUGGGCUACACACGUACUACAAUGCUCGGGACAAAGGGCAGCAAGUAUGCGAAUACAAGCAAAUCUCAGAAACUCGGGCUCAGUUCAGAUCGCAGGCUGCAACUCGCCUGCGUGAAGUCGGAAUCGCUAGUAAUUGCAGGUCAGCAUACUGCAGUGAAUUCGUUCCCGGGCCUUGUACACACCGCCCGUCACACCAUGGAAGCUGGUCACGCCCGAAGUCGUUACCCUAACCGUCAAAGGAGGGGGACGCCGAAGGUAGGACUGGUGACUGGGGUGAAGUCGUAACAAGGUAACC